rnacentral:rRNA from 1 species
ACAAGCGGCGGAGCAUCGCGGAUUAAUUCGAUGCAACGCGAAGAACCUUACCAAGGCUUGACAUACACCGGUAACGCCCAGAGAUGGGUGCCCCUUUGUGGUCGGUGUACAGGUGGUGCAUGGUUGUCGUCAGCUCGUGUCGUGAGAUGUUGGGUUAAGUCCCGCAACGAGCGCAACCCUCGUCCUAUGUUGCCAGCGGGUCAUGCCGGGGACUCGUGGGAGACUGCCGGGGUCAAACUCGGAGGAAGGUGGGAUGACGUCAAAUCAUCAUGCCCCUUAUGUCUUGGGCUUCACGCAUGCUACAAUGGCCGGUACAAAGGGCUGCGAUACCGCGAGGUGGAGCGAAUCCCAGAAAGCCGGUCUCAGUUCGGAUUGGGGUCUGCAACUCGACCCCAUGAAGUCGGAGUCGCUAGUAAUCGCAGAUCAGCAACGCUGCGGUGAAUACGUUCCCGGGCCUU